AUUGAACGCUGGCGGCAGGCCUAACACAUGCAAGUCGAACGAGUGCCGGACGCGUGUGUAAUGUCUGUGAAACUGCCUGAUGUAGGGGGAUAACUCCUGGAAACGGUCUCUAAUACCCCAUACCAUCAGAUGUGCCCACAUGGGAUUAUCUAGUAGGGGGGGUAACGGCUCACCUAGGCGACGAUCCCUAGCUGGUCUGAGAGGAUGACCAGCCACACUGGAACUGAGACACGGUCCAGACUCCUACGGGAGGCAGCAGUGGGGAAUAUUGCACAAUGGGCGCAAGCCUGAUGCAGCCAUGCCGCGUGUAUGAAGAAGGCCGUCGGGUUGUAAAGUACUUUCAGCGGGGAGGCGUUACCCGCAGAAGAAGCACCGGCUAACUCCGUGCCAGCCGCCGCGGUAAUUG
rnacentral:rRNA from 1 species